rnacentral:rRNA from 1 species
AGAACGAACGCUGGCGGCAUGCCUAAUACAUGCAAGUCGAACGAACUCUUCGGAGUUAGUGGCGCACGGGUGCGUAACGCGUGGGAAUCUGCCCCUUGGUUCGGAAUAACAGUUGGAAACGACUGCUAAUACCGGAUGAUGACGAAAGUCCAAAGAUUUAUCGCCAAGGGAUGAGCCCGCGUAGGGUUAGCUAGUUGGUGAGGUAAAGGCUCACCAAGGCAACGAUCCUUAGCUGGUCUGAGAGGAUGAUCAGCCACACUGGGACUGAGACACGGCCCAGACUCCUACGGGAGGCAGCAGUAGGGAAUAUUGGACAAUGGGACAAAAGCCUGAUCCAGCAAUGCCGCGUGAGUGAUGAAGGCCUUAGGGUUGUAAAGCUACUUUUACCCGAGAUGAUAAUGACAGUAUCGGAAGAA